ensembl:lncRNA
CGUGUAACCUUGGGAUUUGAAUGGUCUUUGAUGAGUGGUCUGUGGAUCUCAAUGCAAAAAAGGGACUGAAGUAGGGUGGAAACAGUCAGUAAAAGGCAUUAGGCACAGAAUGAAGGCUGUGGCGCAGAUCUUGCGUGCUGUUCUGGCACAACCCUUACUGAUCCAGCCCCUCCUUGAAGACAAUGGAAGUUUCUCACCAUUUCUCUAAUGCCUGGUAACACAGACAAUUUAACUUCUUUGUAGUUUUACAGAGAGAGGAGGAAUAUUGUUCACAGAGGUGUCAGACACUCAGCUUGUGUUUGAAUAGACCCAUGCAGAAGCUCAGAACUGCAUCAGGGCUGCACUGGUUUUCUUUGUGUAGGCAAACCCCCUUAGUUAGGCAAACCCCAGAGCAUAGUAGCACUGGGAACCAAAGCAAAGCAAAGGUGAUGGAUGCAGUGCUGCAUUCUGGAUUUACCAGCUAGCAAACAGACAACCACCAAGGAGCUUAGCAGGCUCAUGAACUACAGAUUUUAUUGGUUUUCAGACAGAUUGAAACAAAACAGUGAGGAAAAGGAUUAAACACACUGAGAGGAAAACGAACAGCAAGACUCGUGCUUACAAACAAAAAUCAUACUGAUAGCAACCUCAAAGCACAUUUACAUGGGUUUGGGGAUUAAAGACAGGAAAAGAAGAGGAUAGAUGAUCUACAGUCUCUAAGCAAAGGAGGAAGAACGUUCAAGGCCAUAUCCAUAUCCAAAUGAGCCAGGAGGGAAGCAGCAGCAUCAGAGCACUGCCUGCCCAUUGCCAAGUGGGUUUAGUUUCCACCACAGCAGCUGCUGCAGCAGCUAUUGCUGUUGUUGUUGCUCAUGGUGUAGCAGCAGGUCUGCAUGGGCAUGCAGCAAGUGGUGGGGCAGCACAUUGGUUUCUUGCAGCAGGACUUCGGGCUGCUGUAGCAGCACACGGUGUAGCUGUUGUUAUUUCCACCGCAGCAUCCGUUGGGCAUGUUGCUGGUAGUCUUGUAGGCAAAGCUGGAAAGAAUAGAGAGAAGGUCUUUUUUACUGCCUGAAUCUCCCUGUUUAGGCAGCUUAAAGCACCCUUAUCCCAAAGCCUCUCCCAGAGUGGCUGGAGAAGUCCCUACUGUGCAGAAUCCCAUGUCAACCUAUCCCUGAGAUCUUCACAUUUUUGCACGGACAUCUGUGCAUUUGGCAUGUUGUCCAGCAUUGGUUCCAUCAAUAAGAAGCCAUCCAGCUGCAUCCCCAAAAUAGUCUCUCAAAACCAAACAGUACUGGAAAUCCUGGAUGGCUUCUAGCAGGAGCAUGUGGAAAUAUGGUAGACUGCAAAUGAAGAGGCAAAUAGUAAGCUCUGACUUACCCUAUUGACCAGUGAGGACAAGACAGGAGAAGUCAAGAUGAGAUUAUGAAGACCACUGUGAUGGGGAGCUUUUUAUAUGGUUCCAAGCCAUCCCCCCUGGAAAUGAGGCAUUCUUCUGCAAUUCCGACUUCCCCGUGUAUCACCCAACCUAUGCCAUUCACGUGUCUUCGGGUAGUUAAUCUUUACUUCUUUCUGCUUGCUCACCACUUCAAUUCCGCACUGUAAUUAGUCUCAUAUAUGAACAAGAGUGGAAACAUUCUAAUGAAUUUGCAUUAAUGGGAUCUGAAGGUAGCUCUAAGGUAUUCCCAUCCGCUUCCCAAGGAAUGAGCCUGAGACACUGGGGCAAUGCGCACAUGGGAAUCAGCUGCUGAAGCAGUGGGAGAACCAUGCCUGGAACUUGGAAAUGUGACCCCUGGUGUGUUCCAUCUGUGCUUGGAUGGGAUUUUGGUGGGCCAGUGGAAGCUAUUUGUCAAUGUGAAUCCUGCUUUCCUGACUCUGUGUGGUUUAGGUCAAGACUGAGGGUUUCUCCUUUCUCAGCCUUGUUCUUGGAGCUCCCUUCAUGAUGCUUUUAAUUUCUGCUAAGCCUUCCCAUGAAAGGGAUGGAUUAAGUCUAAAUUAAGCAGCUUUCAAAGCAGAAUGCAUGUCAGCUUUUGUCUGUGUUACUUCCAUAUACUCCGUAUUCUGAGGUCAUUUCUAAGGCCUGAGACUGAGACACCUUGUGUUUCAUGGUAUUUGUGAUGAUCACAUUUAAGUGUUUCACACUUACAACUAGAUUCUCUAUCACUGUAGGCAAGUGUGAGGUUCCAGACUGGAAAUGCAAUCCUGAGUGCAUUUCUCCAUCACUUUUCCCUGUACCUUGGGAGCGCAGCUGGAAUCUCUCAGAUGGUCUGAGUUUUUCAGCAAUUACUUCUAGUUGUUU